rnacentral:lncRNA from 1 species
GUCCCGCAGUGAAGCCCAUCCCUCCCACUGCUGUAGAUGCCCCGGCUAGGGCAGUGCACCCAGACUCACUUACAGCCCGGAGCCAUGGAAUUUUACGAAUCAUGAAUUGCCCGGCACAAUGGGUGGUCAUCAUCACACUUCUGAUCUCUUGGUCAAUAGCAGGUGUUGUCAUGUUUGACUUUGUCAGUGACGAUCAGAUUGCAAGUAAGUUUUAAAUAGGCCUAAUUCAUUUUCACAGUUCCUAUUUUAUUUACUCUUGUGCUGUUGUUGGAUUUGUUGGGUUCACUCUGAAUUGUUUUUAUAGGCAUCCAAGAUUUCGGCUCUGAUCCAGUGCUAGCAGUGAACAAAGCCAUUGAAGUCAUUGAAAACAGGAUAAACCAUAUGAAUGAUAUGUUUAAUGAUGCUCAAGAGCACGUCACUGAAAUAAUAUUUAAUCCGGUGGAAGCUAUUAGUUCAGCUGCUGACUCAUCUGUGUCUUAUCUGUCAGGAAUAUUUAGUGCCGAUGGUAUGUACAUAUGUUCAUUAAUGGCAUUUAAAAAUCAUUUAUAAGCAGUUUAAAACACUAUUUAGUUUUGAUUUGCAUUAUAUUGUUGUUUUUCCAUCCAGGAGAUUCAGGAAUCACUGAAACAGUGAAAUAUGGGGGCACUGUAUUGGAUGAGGCUACAGAAUGGAUCAAAUCCCCAGUGAGCUACGUAUUCCACUUAUUUGAAGACAUUCUGGAUAUAGUGGUUGCUCCAGUGGAUAUGGUCAGUGAAGCUCUUGUGCAAAUUUUAAGUGGGAUCAAGACUGUUAUACAGUGUAUUUCCACCAUGUUUGGGGGCAUUGAAGGGGACACAGGCAUCACUGAAACAGUGAAACUUGGUGGCACUGUAUUGGAUGAGGUUACUGACUGGAUUAGAUUCCCAGUGGCUUACUUAUUCCACUUAUUUGAAGAUAUCCUGGAUGUAGCAAUCAUCUAUCCAGCAGACAUUGCCAGUGAAGCAGCUCUGCAAAUUUUAAGUGGGAUCAAGACCAUUUCUUCAACCAUAUUCGGGAACCUUGAAGCUUGGUUUCCCAAAAUGAGCACUGAUCCUGCGGAGCUGGCUGAAAUAGUUGUAGAGGAGGCCGCAGAAGUAAAGACCACCGUUUCUAAUUACCUAUCCAGUCUGUUUGCAGCGGAUGAAGGUGGUAUUCCUGACCUUAGCUUUGAUCCCAUGAAAGUUGUCACAGACACUGUUGAGGAGUUUGAUGACAGGAGGGAUAUGUUCUUGGCUUAUCUCUCAAACAUGCUCAUGGAAGACAAAGGUAUUCAUCCUAUCAAGUAUAUCACAAAUGUAUGCUUGUAUAUUAAAAUAGUUAUUUUUUUAACUAUCCGUGUCAUUCUCUGUUUCAGAUGA